rnacentral:rRNA from 1 species
GGUUCCUUGGAUCGUACAUACUACAUGGAUAACUGUAGUAAUUCUAGAGCUAAUACAUGCCACUAUGCCCUGACCCGCAAGGGAACGGGUGGAUUUAUUAGAACAGAACCAACCGGGAAUGGCUCCGGUCGUUCCCGUUGCAUUCUGUGAUGACUCUGGAUAACUUCACUGAUCGCAGUCGGCCUUGAGCCGGCGACGGAUCCUUCAAAUGUCUGCCCUAUCAAUUUUCGAUGGUAGGUGACCUGCCUACCAUGGUUCUAACGGGUAACGGGGAAUCAGGGUUCGAUUCCGGAGAGGGAGCCUGAGAAACGGCUACCACUUCCAAGGGAGGCAGCAGGCGCGCAAAUUACCCAAUCCCGGCACGGGGAGGUAGUGACGAAAGAUACGGAUACGGGACUCAGUAGAGGCUCCGUAAUUCGAAUGAGUACAGCUUAAAUCCUUUAACGAGGAUCAACUGGAGGGCAAGUCUGGUGCCAGCAGCCGCGGUAACUCCAGCUCCAGAAGCGUAUAUUAAAGUUGUUGCAGUUAAAAAGCUCGUAGUUGGAUCUGGGUUGCAUGGCUACAUGCCGUCGCUUGUGAGUUUGUCCUGGUGAAAGCUGGGUUAAACUCGCGAGUCGGUCUAGUGGUUGUGCUUCCUUUCUGCUGUGUCUGUUUACAGGUGUCAGCGUGACCGGUGGGUUCUCUUGCCGGUCUGUUGGCAUGCUUCUUGGUGCC